AACGAACGCUGGCGGCAGGCUUAACACAUGCAAGUCGAACGGGUGCAGCAAUGCAUCAGUGGCAGACGGGUGAGUAACACGUGGGAACCUUCCUAGGGGUACGGAACAACUCAGGGAAACUUGAGCUAAUACCGUAUACGUCCGUGAGGAGAAAGAUUUAUCGCCCUUAGACGGGCCCGCGUCGGAUUAGCUAGUUGGUGGGGUAACGGCCUACCAAGGCGACGAUCCGUAGCUGAUCUUAGAGGAUGAUCAGCCACACUGGGACUGAGACACGGCCCAGACUCCUACGGGAGGCAGCAGUGGGGAAUCUUGGACAAUGGGGGCAACCCUGAUCCGGCCAUGCCGCGUGAGUGAAGAAGGUCUUCGGAUUGUAAAGCUCUUUUGCCAGGGACGAUAAUGACGGUACCUGGAGAAUAAGCCCCGACAAACUUCGUGCCAGCCGCCGCAGUAA
rnacentral:rRNA from 1 species